rnacentral:lncRNA from 1 species
CUUGACUCCAGUUCCGGGGUAUUCUACGAUAGGUUUACAACUGGAAUGAACAUCGUUGAUGCUGUCAGUGUACCUUAAGAAGAGAGGCCACUGGAAUCCUGAAAAACCUGCUUUCUCAAUACACAUGGAGAAUGGAUCCAAGCAGCAAAAGGAGAUGGACGACGUGGAGAUCCAUGGCCCAGGACCUCCUUUCAAGGAAGGACAGAGGUACAGCCCCGCUCGGGGAGAGGGG